rnacentral:rRNA from 1 species
AAUGCCUAGGAAUCUGCCUGGUAGUGGGGGACAACGUUUCGAAAGGAACGCUAAUACCGCAUACGUCCUACGGGAGAAAGCAGGGGACCUUCGGGCCUUGCGCUAUCAGAUGAGCCUAGGUCGGAUUAGCUAGUUGGUGAGGUAAUGGCUCACCAAGGCGACGAUCCGUAACUGGUCUGAGAGGAUGAUCAGUCACACUGGAACUGAGACACGGUCCAGACUCCUACGGGAGGCAGCAGUGGGGAAUAUUGGACAAUGGGCGAAAGCCUGAUCCAGCCAUGCCGCGUGUGUGAAGAAGGUCUUCGGAUUGUAAAGCACUUUAAGUUGGGAGGAAGGGCAUUAACCUAAUACGUUAGUGUUUUGACGUUACGACAGAAUAAGCACCGGCUAACUCUGUGCCAGCAGCCGCGGUAAUACAGAGGGUGCAAGCGUUAAUCGGAAUUACUGGGCGUAAAGCGCGCGUAGGUGGUUUGUUAAGUUGGAUGUGAAAUCCCCGGGCUCAACCUGGGAACUGCAUUCAAAACUGACAAGCUAGAGUAUGGUAGAGGGUGGUGGAAUUUCCUGUGUAGCGGUGAAAUGCGUAGAUAUAGGAAGGAACACCAGUGGCGAA